rnacentral:rRNA from 1 species
UCAGGCCUAACACAUGCAAGUCGAGCGAGGCAUCGGUACCUAGCGGCACACGGGUGCGUAACAUGUGGGAAUCUGCCUUUUGGUUCGGAACCCCAUGGGGAAACCUGUGCUAAUACCGGAUACCCCCUUACGGAAAAAGAUUUAUCGCCGAGAGAUGACCCCGCACUAUAUUAGCUUGGUGGUAAGGUAAAAGCUUACCAAGGCUACGAUCUAUAGCUGAUUUGAGAGGAUGAUCAGCCACACUGGGACUGACACACGGCCCACACUCCUACGGGAGGCAGCAGUGGGGAAUCUUGCACAAUGGACGAAACUCUGAUGCAGCGAUGCCGCGUGAGUGAAGAAGGCCCUUGGGUUGUAAAGCUCUUUUGUCGGGAAAGAUAAUGACUGUACCCGAAAAAUAAGGUCCGGCUAACUUCGUGCCAGCAGCCGCGGUAAUACGAAGGGACCUAGCGUAAUUCGAAAUUACUGGGCGUAAAGCGCGCGUAGGCGGUUAAGUAAGUUAAUUGUGAAAGCCCGAAGCUCAACUUUGAAAUUGCUCUUAAAACUAUUUACCUAGAGUUUAUCGAAGGAAAGCGGAAUACAUAUGGUAGAGGUGAAAUUCGAAAAUAUUAUGUAAAACACCAGGUGCGAAGGCGGUUUUCUGCUAUAACACUGACGCUGAGGUGCGAAGUGAGGGGUAGCGAAGAGGAUAAAAUACCCU